GCGGACGUGGCGGAAUUGGCAGACGCGCAGGACUUAGAAUCCUGUCCUUAAGGAGGGUGGGAGUUCAAAUCUCCCCGUCCGCA
rnacentral:tRNA from 1 species